GACGAACGCUGGCGGCGUGCUUAACACAUGCAGGUCGAGCGGAAAGGCCCUUCGGGGUCCUCGAGCGGCGAACGGGUGAGUAACACGUGAGUAAUCUGCCCUUGGCUUUGGGAUAACUACCGGAAACGGUGGCUAAUACCGGAUACGACAACCGUCUGCAUGGGCCGGUUGUGGAAAGUUUUUUCGGCCAGGGAUGUGCUCGCGGCCUAUCAGCUUGUUGGUGGGGUAAUGGCCUACCAAGGCUUCGACGGGUAGCCGGCCUGAGAGGGUGACCGGCCACACUGGGACUGAGACACGGCCCAGACUCCUACGGGAGGCAGCAGUGGGGAAUAUUGGACAAUGGGCGGAAGCCUGAUCCAGCAACGCCGCGUGAGGGAUGACGGCCUUCGGGUUGUAAACCUCUUUCAGUACCGACGAAGCGCCGAUGAUGGUGGUGACGGUAGGUACAGAAGAAGCACCGGCCAACUACGUG
rnacentral:rRNA from 1 species